CCUACGGGGGGCAGCAGUGGGGAAUAUUGGACAAUGGGGGGAACCCUGAUCCAGCCAUGCCGCGUGUGUGAAGAAGGCCCUCGGGUUGUAAAGCACUUUCAGUGAGGAAGAACGCCUGGUGGUUAAUACCCAUCAGGAAAGACAUCACUCACAGAAGAAGCACCGGCUAACUCCGUGCCAGCAGCCGCGGUAAUACGGAGGGUGCGAGCGUUAAUCGGAAUUACUGGGCGUAAAAGCGCGCGUAGGUGGCUUGAUAAGCCGGUUGUGAAAGCCCCGGGCUCAACCUGGGAACGGCAUCCGGAACUGUCAAGCUAGAGUGCAGGAGAGGAAGGUAGAAUUCCCGGUGUAGCGGUGAAAUGCGUAGAGAUCGGGAGGAAUACCAGUGGCGAAGGCGGCCUUCUGGACUGACACUGACACUGAGGUGCGAAAGCGUGGGUAGCAAACAGGAUUAGAUACCCGGGUAGUC
rnacentral:rRNA from 1 species